GAGAGGAAGGAGGAGAACCAGGAGGAAGGAGGAGCAGAGAGGAGGGAGGAGAACCAGGAGGAAGCAGGAGCAGAGAGGAGGAAGGAGAACCAGGAGGAAGGAGGAGCAGAGAGGAGGGAGGGGCAGCGCUGCUCUUCAUAUGAGCAGAACUGGAGAGCUGGUUCUCGGUGUCAGGCCAUUUCUUCAGGGAGCGGUCUGGUGUAUUCGGGCGUGGUUCUGUGGGUCAGAGGUCAACGCUGCUGCGUUCGCUGCGACAGCUGUGACUAUGAAGAGGAACUGGACGUCUGCAGCCUGGUGAGACGCCGCAAAGCCCGUCGGGCCAAGCGCGCCAGCAGACGGAGGCCGACCGUCAUCAGCAACUCUGACUUGAAGAGGAAGAGGAGGAGGAGGAAGGAGAACCAGGAGGAAGGAGGAGCAGAGAGGAGGGAGGAGAACCAGGAGGAAGCAGGAGCAGAGAGGAGGGAGGAGAACCAGGAGGAAGGAGGAGCAGAG